UGCCGACCAACCAUGAGCUCCCAGGUUCGCCAGAAUGAUUCCACCGAGGUGGAGGCAGCCAUCAACCGCCUGGUCAAUUUGCAUCUGCGGGCCUCCUACGCCUACCUCUCUUUGGGCUUCUAUUUCGACCGCGACGAUGUGGCUCUGGAAGGCGUGGGCCACUUCUUCCGCGAGUGGGCGGAGGAGAAGCGCGAGGGCGCCGAGCGUCUCUUGAAGAUGCAAAACCAGCGUGGCGGCCGCACCUUCUUCCAGGAUAUCCAGAAACCCUCUCAAGGUGAGUGGGGUAAAACCCUGAAUGCCAUGGAAGCCGCCAUGGCCUUAUAGAAGAGCCUGAACCAAGCCCUUUUGGACUCUCAUGCCCUGGGAUCCACAGACCCCCAUCUCUCUGACUUCCUGGAGAAUCAAUUCCUAGAUGAGGAGGUGAAAUUCAUCAAAAAGAUGGGUGAGCAUCUGACCAAUCUUCGCAGACUGGCCGGCCCGAGUCAGGGCUGGGUGAGUAUCUCUUCGAAAGGCUCACCCUCAAGCACGACUAG